rnacentral:rRNA from 1 species
CGGACGGGUGAGUAACGCGUGAGAAUCUGCCAAUAGGUCUGGGACAACCACUGGAAACGGUGGCUAAUACCGGAUGUGCCUUUAGGGGUGAAAGGUUAACUGCCUGUUGAUGAGCUCGCGUCUGAUUAGCUAGUAGGUGUGGUAAAAGCGCACCUAGGCGACGAUCAGUAGCUGGUCUGAGAGGACGAUCAGCCACACUGGGACUGAGACACGGCCCAGACUCCUACGGGAGGCAGCAGUGGGGAAUUUUCCGCAAUGGGCGAAAGCCUGACGGAGCAAUACCGCGUGAGGGAGGAAGGCUCUUGGGUCGUAAACCUCUUUUCUCAGGGAAGAACAAAAUGACGGUACCUGAGGAAUAAGCAUCGGCUAACUCCGUGCCAGCAGCCGCGGUAAUACGGAGGAUGCAAGCGUUAUCCGGAAUGAUUGGGCGUAAAGCGUCCGCAGGUGGCUAUGUAAGUCUGCUGUUAAAGAGUCUAGCUCAACUAGAUAAAAGCAGUGGAAACUACAAGGCUAGAGUACGUUCGGGGCAGAGGGAAUUCCUGGUGUAGCGGUGAGAUGCGUAGAGAUCAGGAAGAACACCAGUGGCGAAGGCGCUCUGCUAGGCCGUAACUGACACUGAGGGACGAAAGCUAGGGGAGCGAAUGGGAUUAGAUACCCCAGUAGUC